UACGUAGGGUCCGAGCGUUGUCCGGAAUUACUGGGCGUAAAGAGCUCGUAGGUGGUUUGUCGCGUUGUUCGUGAAAACUCACAGCUUAACUGUGGGCGUGCGGGCGAUACGGGCAGACUUGAGUACUGCAGGGGAGACUGGAAUUCCUGGUGUAGCGGUGAAAUGCGCAGAUAUCAGGAGGAACACCGGUGGCGAAGGCGGGUCUCUGGGCCGAUACUGACGCUGAGGAGCGAAAGCGUGGGGAGCGAACAGGAUUAGAACCGUACGUACGAGACCAAGAUC
rnacentral:rRNA from 1 species